rnacentral:rRNA from 1 species
CAGCCGUAAACAAUGUGCGUUAGGUGUGUCGGUAACCACGUGUUACUGAUGCGCCGAAGAGAAAUCGUGAAACGCACCACCUGGGAAGUACGGUCGCAAGGCUGAAACUUAAAGGAAUUGGCGGGGGGAGGCACCACAACAGGUGGAGCCUGCGGUUUAAUUUGGAUUCAACGCCGAAAAACUACACCAGCAGCGACUGUUACAUGAAAGUCAGGUUGAUGACCUUACUAGAUUUUCAGAGAGGAGGUGCAUGGCGUCAGUGACU